AUUGAACGCUGGCGGCAUGCUUUACACAUGCAAGUCGAACGAGUGGCGCACGGGUGAGUAAUACAUCGGAACGUGUCCUAUCGUGGGGGAUACCUUAUCUAAAGCUCAGCCAAUACCGCAUACAAUUGGAGCUGCCGAUGCCCGAUUAGCUAGUUGGUGGGGUAAAAGUUCACCAAGGCGACGAUCGGUAGCUGGUCUGAGAGGACGACCAGCCACACUGGAACUGAGACACGGCCCAGACUCCUACGGGAGGCAGAAGUGGGGAAUUUUGGACAAUGGGGGAAACCCUGAUCCAGCCAUGCCGCGGGAAUGAUGAAGGGCUUCGGAUUGUAAACUGCUUUUGUCAGGGAAGCGGUACCUGAAGAAUAAGCACCGGCUAACUACGUGCCAGCAGCCGCGGUAAUUC
rnacentral:rRNA from 1 species